GAUGAACGCUGGCGGCGUGCCUCAAACAUGCAAGUCGAGCGGGGCUAUGUAAUAUCGCAAGGUAGAACAUAGCCUAGCGGCGAACGGGUGAGUAACACGUGGGUAACCUGCCUGGAAGACAGGGAUAACGAUUCGAAAGGGUCGCUAAUACCUGAUAAUAUCCUUUCAUCGCAUGGUGAUAGGAAGAAAGGGGAAACCCGCUUUCAGAUGGGCCCGCGUCCCAUCAGCUAGUUGGUAAGGUAAAGGCUUACCAAGGCGACGACGGGUAGCCGGUCUGAGAGGAUGUCCGGUCACACUGGGACUGAGACACGGCCCAGACUCCUACGGGAGGCAGCAGCAGGGAAUCUUGGGCAAUGGGCGAAAGCCUGACCCAGCGACGCCGCGUGGAGGAAGAAGUCCUUGGGGCGUAAACUCCUGGACUGGGGACGAGUAAGGACGGUACCCCAGUAGAAAGGGACGGCUAACUACGUGCCAGCAGCCGCGGUAAAAGUACUACUAU
rnacentral:rRNA from 1 species